AUGAACGCUAGCGACAGGCCUAACACAUGCAAGUCGAGGGGCAGCACAAGGAGCAAUCUGAGGUGGCGACCGGCGCACGGGUGAGUAACACGUAUGCAACCUGCCUGUAAGCGGGGAAUAACCCGUUGAAAGACGGACUAAUACCGCAUAAUACUAAAUUACUGCAUGGUAAUUUAUUUAAACAUUUAUGGCUUACAGAUGGGCAUGCGCAUGAUUAGCUAGUUGGAGAGGUAACGGCUCCCCAAGGCAACGAUCAUUAGGGGUUCUGAGAGGAAGGUCCCCCACACUGGUACUGAGACACGGACCAGACUCCUACGGGAGGCAGCAGUGAGGAAUAUUGGUCAAUGGACGAGAGUCUGAACCAGCCAAGUCGCGUGCAGGAAGAAUGUCCCUAUGGAUUGUAAACUGCUUUUGCAGGGGAAUAAAGUGCAUCGCGUGUGAUGUUUUGUAUGUACUCUGCGAAUAAGGAUCGGCUAACUCCGUGCCAGCCGCUGC
rnacentral:rRNA from 1 species